rnacentral:rRNA from 1 species
ACGGGUGAGUAACGCGUGGGAAUCUACCCAUCUCUACGGGAUAGCUCCGGGAAACUGGAAUUAAUACCGUAUACGUCCUGAGGGAGAAAGAUUUAUCGGGGAUGGAUGAGCCCGCGUUGGAUUAGCUAGUUGGUGGGGUAAAGGCCUACCAAGGCGACGAUCCAUAGCUGGUCUGAGAGGAUGACCAGCCACAUUGGGACUGAGACACGGCCCAAACUCCUACGGGAGGCAGCAGUGGGGAAUAUUGGACAAUGGGCGCAAGCCUGAUCCAGCCAUGCCGCGUGAGUGAUGAAGGUCUUAGGAUUGUAAAGCUCUUUCAGUGGGGACGAUAAUGACGGUACCCACAGAAGAAGCCCCGGCUAACUUCGUGCCAGCAGCCGCGGUAAUACGAAGGGGGCUAGCGUUGUUCGGAAUUACUGGGCGUAAAGCGCACGUAGGCGGAUAUUUAAGUCGGGGGUGAAAUCCCGGGGCUCAACCCCGGAACUGCCUUCGAUACUGGGUAUCUUGAGUUCGGAAGAGGUGAGUGGAAUUGCGAGUGUAGAGGUGAAAUUCGUAGAUAUUCGCAGGAACACCAGUGGCGAAGGCGGCUCACUGGUCCGAUACUGACGCUGAGGUGCGAAAGCGUGGGGAGCAAACAGGAUUAGAUACCCUG